UACAGAGGGGGCAAGCGUUGUCCGGAAUUAUUGGGCGUAAAGAGCUCGUAGGCGGUUUGUCGCGUCUGCUGUGAAAACUCGGGGCUUAACCCCGGGCCUGCAGUGGGUACGGGCAGACUAGAGUGCGGUAGGGGAGACUGGAAUUCCUGGUGUAGCGGUGAAAUGCGCAGAUAUCAGGAGGAACACCGAUGGCGAAGGCAGAUCUCUGGGCCGUAACUGACGCUGAGGAGCGAAAGCAUGGGGAGCGAACAGG
rnacentral:rRNA from 1 species